rnacentral:rRNA from 1 species
AGAGUUUGAUCGUGGCUCAGAAUGAACGCUGGCGGCGUGCUUAACACAUGCAAGUCGUGCGCGAAGGUGGCUUCGGCCACCGGAGAGCGGCGAACGGGUGAGUAACACGUGGGUAAUCUGCCUGGGAGCGGGGGAUAACCUGGGGAAACUCGGGCUAAUACCGCAUACGUUGGCGGGCAUGCGUGCCUGUCAAGAAAGCUGGCCUCUACUUGUAAGCUAGCGCUCCUAGAGGAGCCCGCGUCUGAUUAGCUAGUUGGUGAGGUAAUGGCUCACCAAGGCGACGAUCAGUAGCCGGCCUGAGAGGGUGAUCGGCCACACUGGGACUGAGACACGGCCCAGACUCCUACUGGAGGCAGCAGUGGGGAAUAUUGGACAAUGGGCGCAAGCCUGAUCCAGCAACGCCGCGUGGAGGACGAAGGUCUUCGGAUCGUAAACUCCUGUCAGGUGGGGCGAAGGGUGCGGGGCAAACAGCCUUGCACCUUGACGGUACCACCAGAGGAAGCCCCGGCUAACUCCGUGCCAGCAGCCGCGGUAAUACGGAGGGGGCGAGCGUUAUUCGGAAUUAUUGGGCGUAAAGGGCGCGUAGGCGGCUCGAUAAGUCAAAGGUGAAAUCCCUCGGCUCAACUGAGGAACUGCCUUUGAAACUGUAGAGCUUGAGUCCGGGAGGGGGUAGCGGAAUUCCCAGUGUAGCGGUGAAAUGCGUAGAUAUUGGGAGGAACACCAGUGGCGAAGGCGGCUACCUGGACCGGAACUGACGCUGAGGCGCGAAAGCGUGGGUAGCAAACAGGAUUAGAUACCCUGGUAGUCCACGCUGUAAACGAUGGGUGCUCGGUGUCGCGGGUAUCGACCCCUGCGGUGCCUUAGCUAACGCGUUAAGCACCCCGCCUGGGGAGUACGGUCGCAAGGCUGAACUAAAACGAAUUGACGGA